rnacentral:rRNA from 1 species
ACAUGCAAGUCGAGCGGAUGAGAGGAGCUUGCUCCUGGAUUCAGCGGCGGACGGGUGAGUAAUGCCUAGGAAUCUGCCUGGUAGUGGGGGACAACGUUUCGAAAGGAACGCUAAUACCGCAUACGUCCUACGGGAGAAAGCAGGGGACCUUCGGGCCUUGCGCUAUCAGAUGAGCCUAGGUCGGAUUAGCUAGUUGGUGAGGUAAUGGCUCACCAAGGCGACGAUCCGUAACUGGUCUGAGAGGAUGAUCAGUCACACUGGAACUGAGACACGGUCCAGACUCCUACGGGAGGCAGCAGUGGGGAAUAUUGGACAAUGGGCGAAAGCCUGAUCCAGCCAUGCCGCGUGUGUGAAGAAGGUCUUCGGAUUGUAAAGCACUUUAAGUUGGGAGGAAGGGUUGUARAUUAAUACUCUGCAAUUUUGACGUUACCGACAGAAUAAGCACCGGCUAACUCUGUGCCAGCAGCCGCGGUAAUACAGAGGGUGCAAGCGUUAAUCGGAAUUACUGGGCGUAAAGCGCGCGUAGGUGGUUUGUUAAGUUGGAUGUGAAAUCCCCGGGCUCAACCUGGGAACUGCAUCCAAAACUGGCAAGCUAGAGUAUGGUAGAGGGUGGUGGAAUUUCCUGUGUAGCGGUGAAAUGCGUAGAUAUAGGAAGGAACACCAGUGGCGAAGGCGACCACCUGGACUGAUACUGACACUGAGGUGCGAAAGCGUGGGGAGCAAACAGGAUUAGAUACCCUGGUAGUCCACGCCGUAAACGAUGUCAACUAGCCGUUGGGAGCCUUGAGCUCUUAGUGGCGCAGCUAACGCAUUAAGUUGACCGCCUGGGGAGUACGGCCGCAAGGUUAAAACUCAAAUGAAUUGACGGGGGCCCGCACAAGCGGUGGAGCA